rnacentral:rRNA from 1 species
CCUACGGGGAGCAGCAGUCGAGAAUCAUUCACAAUGGGGGAAACCCUGAUGGUGCGACGCCGCGUGGAGGAAUGCAGGUCUACGGAUUGUAAACCCCUGUCAUGUGGGAGUAAAUUAAAAAGAUAGUACCACAUGAGGAAGAGACGGCUAAAUCUGUGCCAGCAGCCGCGGUAAUACAGAGGUCUCAAGCGUUGUUCGGAAUCACUGGGCGUAAAGCGUGCGUAGGCUGUUUCGUAAGUCGUGUGUGAAAGGCGGGGGCUCAAACCGCGCACGGCACAUGAUACUGCGAGACUAGAGUAAUGGAGGGGGAACCGGAAUGCUCGGUGUAGCAGUGAAAUGCGUAGAUAUCGAGAGGAACACUCGUGGCGAAGGCGGGUUCCUGGACAUUAACUGACGCUGAGGCACGAAGGCCAGGGGAGCGAAAGGGAUUAGAUACCCGGGUAGUC